rnacentral:piRNA from 1 species
CUGGGGAGAGGACUAUGAGUUUUAGGGG